rnacentral:rRNA from 1 species
AACGAACGCUGGCGGCAUGCCUAACACAUGCAAGUCGAACGAGUUCUUCGGGUCUAGUGGCGCACGGGUGCGUAACGCGUGGGAAUCUGCCCUUUGGUUCGGAAUAACAGUUGGAAACGACUGCUAAUACCGGAUGAUGACGAAAGUCCUAAGAUUUAUCGCCAGAGGAUGAGCCCGCGUAGGAUUAGCUAGUUGGUGUGGUAAAGGCGCACCAAGGCGACGAUCCUUAGCUGGUCUGAGAGGAUGAUCAGCCACACUGGGACUGAGACACGGCCCAGACUCCUACGGGAGGCAGCAGUGGGGAAUAUUGGACAAUGGGCGAAAGCCUGAUCCAGCGAUGCCGCGUGAGUGAUGAAGGCCUUAGGGUUGUAAAGCUCUUUUACCCGGGAUGAUAAUGACAGUACCGGGAGAAUAAGCUCCGGCUAACUCCGUGCCAGCAGCCGCCGUAA